UUUUAAAUUCAAUAUUUUAUUUGAAAAUUCAUUGGAAAAAUUCAGAAUUUCUGAAGUGAUUUUACUUGGGAAGUUUCACUUGAAAGAAAUGUUACAAGUAAAAACUUUCUGAAAAAAUUCGGAAUUACUGAAAUGAUUUUACUUGGGAAGAAGUGAAAUACGAAGUGACUUCGAAAAAGUUACAUUUGCAUUUUAACUCGUUAAAAAGCGAACAUCCCAGCAUUCUUUAUGGAGCGUCACUUGUUCUUUACUCGUACAAGCUAACACUUUACUCCGGAUUCACAAGUGAAACAUUUUUUUCGGAACUGAUUAGGCUCAAACUAAUGCAAGGCAAACUUGCGAUGUAAUUAGUGUCUCUCUGUGUCUCAUGGGAAUUUUUUUCGGAACUGAAGGGCAUGUUCAGAAAUCACUCAAACAGAACGCGUAUUUCUUAUGGACGUAUACGAAGCUAAAUAUUUGAUUAUAUAUGUAGCUCGGUGCAAUGUUGGAGAUAUACCUAAAUACUUUUAAACAGUA